UGGGGAAUAUUGCACAAUGGGCGCAAGCCUGAUGCAGCCAUGCCGCGUGUAUGAAGAAGGCCUUCGGGUUGUAAAGUACUUUCAGCGGGGAGGAAGGUGUUGUGGUUAAUAACCUCAGCAAUUGACGUUACCCGCAGAAGAAGCACCAGCUAACUCCGUGCCAGCAGCCGCGGUAAUACGGAGGGUGCAAGCGUUAAUCGGAAUUACUGGGCGUAAAGCGCACGCAGGCGGUCUGUCAAGUCGGAUGUGAAAUCCCCGGGCUCAACCUGGGAACUGCAUCCGAAACUGGCAGGCUUGAGUCUUGUAGAGGGGGGUAGAAUUCCAGGUGUAGCGGUGAAAUGCGUAGAGAUCUGGAGGAAUACCGGUGGCGAAGGCGGCCCCCUGGACAAAGACUGACGCUCAGGUGCGAAAGCGUGGGGAGCAAACA
rnacentral:rRNA from 1 species